AAUUCAUGCAAAAAAAUUCCUUGCCAUGGUCCAAAAUCAACAUCAAACUGCUGUCAAAAGAAUGAGAAGCGAUAAUGGACCUGAGUUUCUAUGUAAAGACUUAGUUACUCAUUUUCAAGCCUUAGUUAUUAUUCAAGAAAAUUCUUGUUCUUACACACCACAACAAAAUGGUGUGGUUGAAAGGAAACACAAACAUAUUCUUGAGAUUGCUAAAGCCCUUAAAUUUCAAGCUUCCUUUCCUCUUUCUCUUUGGGGGGAUUGCAUUUUUGCAGCCACAUACAUGUUAAAUAGAUUGCCCACUCCUAUUUUGCACUUUGCAGAACAAAACUCCUUUUGAACAACUUUAUGGUCAUCCACCUAAUUUGUCCCAUAUGAAGGUCGUAGGUUGCUUGUGCUAUGCUACUGUCACGCAUUGUCAUAAAGAUAAGUUUACUACUAGAACCACCAAGUGUGUUGUCAUAGGAUAUUCUCAUGCACAAAAAGGGUAUUUGUUAUACGAUUUAGCUACUCAUCAUACAUUUGUUUCUAGAGAUGUGAUAUUUCAUGAAACCAUUUUUCCAUUUCAAUUUGUUUUUGCAUCAUCUGAACCUAUUCUUUCUAUUCAUUUUGUUGAUCCUGUUGUUCUUAAUGAUCCUUUGUCUUAUGUAAUUCCAUUUCAUUAUGUUAUGCCUUCCAAUAAUUUUGCUGAAUAAUCAGUUUCUUCUGAUUAUCUAGUUCAUUCUCAGUCCAAUGCAUUAGAAAAUAAUUCCAUUAUUCUAGAGUCAUCUUUGUCUUUAAGAAGGUCAACAAGACUCUCUAAACCUCCAAUUUGGCUCAAUGACUGUACUUGCAAUGUGGUUGCUUCUCAAUCUACACAAAUUUUCCCUAGUUCAAGUUCCAAUUCUCUUCUCAAUUCUCAUUCUCAUAUUCCUUAUUCUCUUUCUUCAUUUUACACUUCAACCAAUGUUAUCAAGCCUUUCUCACUCACAUUGAUUCUGAAAAAGAACCAAAUGCUUAUACCGAAGCUUAUUUCUACUCCAAAAUGGAUUGAGGCAAUGCAAGAUGAACUUGUUGCCUUGGAAAGGAAUGGGACCUAGACCUUGAAUACUCUUCGCCCUGGUAAGAUAGCUAUAGGGUGUAAAUGAGUCUACAAAAUUAAGCAUAGAAGUGAUGGGACUAUUGAGAGGUAGAAGACUCGCUUAGUGGCGAAGGGUUACACACAAAACGAAGGGAUAGAUUUUCAUGAGACAUUUUCUCCAGUUGCUAAAAUAUACACUGUCAGAACUUUGUUAGCUAUUGCAGCUGUUAAGGGUUGGCCUUUAGUUCAAAUGGAAGUGAAUAAUGCUUUCUUGAAUAGA
rnacentral:misc_RNA from 1 species